UACGAAGGGUGCAAGCGUUACUCGGAGUUACUGGGCGUAAAGCGUGCGUAGGUGGUUUGUUAAGUCUGAUGUGAAAGCCCUGGGCUCAACCUGGGAAUUGCAUUGGAUACUGGCAGGCUAGAGUGCGGUAGAGGAUGGCGGAAUUCCCGGUGUAGCAGUGAAAUGCGUAGAGAUCGGGAGGAACAUCUGUGGCGAAGGCGGCCAUCUGGACCAGCACUGACACUGAGGCACGAAAGCGUGGGGAGCAAACAGG
rnacentral:rRNA from 1 species